rnacentral:tRNA from 1 species
UCUAUCAAAGGAAAAUAGUUACCCACUGGUCUUAGGCACCAUAACCCUUGGUGCAAAUCCAAGUGAUAGAA